GCUUGAACGGUAUUGGUGAAAUCUGGAGGUCUCAUGUAGUUGUGGGAACUCAUUCCAGGGUGUUCGGUGACAGCAGACGCCCAAGGCUGGCAUGAGGAGUGGUAAAAGAGUUCCCAGUGAAUCUGCUGGAUCCAACAGAAAUGCUGCUUCCGCCAGCGUCGGUGAACACCAGGAGCCAAAGUGCAAAAAUGCAACUCGCAAAGAGUUGGACACAACUGAGUGACUGAACUGAACUGAACUGAACAACUUCUAAUCUCAUUCAAGCUGGAUCUUUGCUGCCUGCAAGCUGUUUGACCUUCGGCAUCUUCCCUCACCUUUCUGAGCUUCAAUUUACUCAUUUAUAAAUAAAGAUAAUUAUAAUUU
rnacentral:lncRNA from 1 species